AACGAACGCUGGCGGCAUGCCUAACACAUGCAAGUCGAACGAAGGCUUCGGCCUUAGUGGCGCACGGGUGCGUAACGCGUGGGAAUCUGCCCUUGGGUUCGGAAUAACGUCGGGAAACUGACGCUAAUACCGGAUGAUGACGUAAGUCCAAAGAUUUAUCGCCCAAGGAUGAGCCCGCGUCGGAUUAGCUAGUUGGUGAGGUAAAAGCUCACCAAGGCGACGAUCCGUAGCUGGUCUGAGAGGAUGAUCAGCCACACUGGGACUGAGACACGGCCCAGACUCCUACGGGAGGCAGCAGUGGGGAAUAUUGGACAAUGGGCGAAAGCCUGAUCCAGCAAUGCCGCGUGAGUGAUGAAGGCCUUAGGGUUGUAAAGCUCUUUUACCCGGGAUGAUAAUGACCGUACCGGGAGAAUAAGCUCCGGCUAACUCCG
rnacentral:rRNA from 1 species